rnacentral:lncRNA from 1 species
UUUUUAGUUCAUGACUGACAUUCUCAUUCAUCCUUGAUAAAUUAAUGCUCUGAUUUCUUAUACAGUGGCAAGCUUUCUGUUAUUUUGUACAAUCUCUGGAAGAUAGGAAACCCCUGAUGAUAAAGGAAAUAGAAUAACUGAACAGUAUUGAAAGAAACAUCUGUGAUAAUAUUCCCCAUGCUACUAUGGAACUCAAAAAGAUAUGGGGGCAUUUACUCAUGUAAGGGAAAAGGGUCAUCUAAAUAUUUAAAUAUUGUGAAGAAAAUAGAAUGUUUCCAGCUCCAUGCUCCCCAGGAUAACUGAGAUGCAGUGUUGCAAUAACCUUCGAGAGACAGACAGAAAGGAAAUGGUUUUCUUGAUCUGCAUAGGGAUGUGGAGAACAAUGAGGCACAGGCAGUAAAUCUAAAUUAUCUUGCAACAGUAAAAAGUCAGAAGACUUCUCCCUAGCCCUCAGAGAAAUGGAAAGACAGUCAGGUGAAGAUGUAUCAUACCAUUCUAGGAAUGGUUUGGGUUGAAUGGUUUGGGUUGAAAGGAAUCUUAGAGAGCAUCUAGAUUCAACUCCCCUGCCCUGGGCAGGGCCACCUUCCACUGAACCAGCUUUCUCAAAGCCCCGUAUCCAACCUGACCUUGAACAUUUCCAGGGACACCCACUGGGACACACCAUCCAGGACACUUCUCGGAGAAAUCUGUGCCAGUGCCUCACCAAUCUAAACCUAACCUCAUCAAAUUUAAAGGCAGUAACCCAUGCCCUUGUAAAAGGUCUGUCUUCAGUUUUCAGGUCUGUCUUCUGUCUUUAGGCCAUCAUUAGGUACUGUCUUCCUGGAGCCUUCUCUUCUCCAGGCUGUACAACCCCAGUUGUCUCAGCCUUUCCUCAUAGAAGAGAUGUUCCAUCCCUGUAAUCAUUCUUGUGGCCCUUCUUUGGAACUCACUCCAACAGAUCUGUGAAUUGUUUUUGUAUCUUUAUAUCCUUGAUUUUUUUUUUAAAUCUUUAUUUUCUUGGCUCUUUUAAAAGCCAGCAUCAGGAAGGAGAAAAGCAGUAACCUAGGUAUGAAUAUUGUGCUCCUCAAAUAUAAGGGGACAUUGAACUCUAUGUUUGAAAAUUUAUCUCUGUUUAUGGCAGAAAGAGAUGAAAAUAGGCCAGUACAGUAGGAUGGAUUCAAACCCCAGUAAAGUCAAUAGGAAAUAAUGACAAACUACGUGUCUCUAGAUUAAGUUUUAAAUGUUCAUUAAAGCUUUGUACCAAAAAAAAAAAAAAAAAAAAAAAAAA